rnacentral:lncRNA from 1 species
CUUUCUAUUUUUAAUUCUGUAUCAUAUUCUCGAGGAGAUCCAUUUACAAUAACACUACACCUGUAUAGCCCUUCGUCUUCAAUUGUUAUAUUAACAAUUUGUAAAUUGAAUUCUCCCCUAGAAUGAUUUCCGGUAAUUUCCAAUCGAUCACUUUUCCUUAGAUCAUGUUUAUUUGUUUACCAUCAGUAUAUGGAAUAAGAUUAGGUGAUCCGAGACACGUCACUGAAGAAUUAUCUGCAAUUCUAGGACAAUACAGUAUUGUUUCCUCUCCGAUUCGACAGU